AGCCUUUUUUGGUUGUUGUUCUUGGUGAUGUUACUGUCAGAAUGCGGUUAAUCCCGAGAGCCACCGAGACAAAAAGCUGUGUGGACACAACUGUGAGUCAGUUGGGGGGAGGGGGCGUGAUGGGAGAAAUGUGAGCAUUCGUCACUUUUCUCUGGGAACCUCUUCCUAGAGCAAAAAAGACAUAAAUAGCAUGGAGUUGAAGUAUAACUGAUGUGAAUUUAUAUUUAUGUAGACAAUAGUUUUCAAGAGAUCAGAUUAGACCUUGCAUAUUUGUUCUUGAGAAAUUUUGCAAGGCAGCAUUUGAGAACAAAUGGGAAAAUCUCUCUGAGGACCCGAGAAGCCAUCGAUGUUCUUUCUUGUUUUUGUUUCACUGGGUGAGCUGUGCAAACUUCAGUGCUGCUGAAGUUUUUGGGAUAAACUUGGUGUGGCAAGUGUCACUGCUCCGAGGGAGCAGAUGUUGGGAGGAGGGGCGGGGGGGGUGGAUGGCACUGGGGAGGCCUUCCUGGGAGGGGAAGAAAGGGUGCCGAGAAGCCGGAUGAAUGAGCUGGCACAGACAGGAGGCUCUGCAGAGAGGAGGAGAUCUGUAGGGGGAGAUGGGUGACGCCAGAAGUUGAGAGUAGUGACUUUGUCAUCCUGCAGUUCUCAACAAAUAGAACAGAACCCUCAGACAAUGCUCGGAACCAGCUGCCUGAGAAGGCGUGGCAGGAGAAAGUGAAGUCUGUCAUAGCCUCUGGUGCCCAUGGCAACGGGGGCUCCACCCCUCCUUUCUCAACUGUUGCCUACAGGGGACCUUCCAGCUCUGCACCUGACGACUUCCUGUGUCUCCUGCUUGACGCCGCCCUUCAGCAGUCCAGAGCCUACGAGUGCUCUGUAGAGAAAAGGGGACAGACGCUGCUGGAGCAGAGCUGUCCUCACUGUGCGAGGAUCUUGCUUCAGCUCUAAGAUAAUGCGCUACUUAGGGGCAAGAGCGCUUUGCCCUGUUGGUGAGGUGAGAUGGUAGUGUUUUCCAGAAAGGAAAUCUAGCAUGUGGUAUCUGGGGGAAAUUCCAAAAUUUUUUCUCUAGCCCAGAUCCCUCCCAUAAACUUCAGAUAUAAAUAUCCAGCUGCCAUCUCCAGUAUCCACCUGAAUCAAACUGAUCUUACCCCACCCACCCACCCACACAUACAUCUAUCCCACGUGAUGUCCUCAUUUCAGUGGCAAAUCCAUCUUUCCUGUUUUCCAGGCCAAAAGCCUUGAACUCAUGUGUGCUUUUUUUCUUUCUCAGUACCCUGCAUUGUUUGUCAGAAAAACCCAUGGACUCUGUUAAAAAGACUUCUGUCUGCACUCUAUUUCUUCCUCACUUCACUGCUACCUGCUGGCCUGAGUCUCACCUAUGAGAACAACAGCUUCGCUCUACAGCCUGUUUCCAACCCAGUAGCCACAAUAAAUCUUUUAAGACAUAGGUGAGAUGGUAGCAUUUCUGUGCAUCAACCUCAUUUCCCUCUGAGUGAAAGCUCAUGCUGCAAUUUUCCUUAUUCUAGGAGUAUCAGUCCGAGGCCAGAACCAAACCAUAGCAGGAGCGAGUGCCUUCCUAAACUACAGAGCUCGCCUAACAGCACAGACGGAAAGGAAAACGUUUCUGUUUCCCAGAACGAAGUCUCAGGCGAGCUGUGUUCUUGUUUCUUGCUCCUAGACAGCCGGACCUUAACGAGGCUCCAUGUCUUCCCACGGUGUGAGAGGAGCCCAUUCUGCUCCAUCUCCUUUUAGCAUUAGAGGUAGCAAUCUGUAUAGACGGAGGCUUACUUUUGGGCUUCAUUAAAUAAGUCUGAUACAGUUACUGCUGGAAUUUUGAAAAAUUGAUCCCCCUGUCUACUGGCAGAGGUCACCUUAGAGCAGAGCAGGAGGAAGCCUCUCCAGAUCUGAAG
rnacentral:lncRNA from 1 species